GAUAAUCUACACCAUUGACUAAGACUAAACCUAAGAAAUAAGAAUUGAACGCUAACAAAUCAAUCAGGGCGUUUAUGCAUUUUACCUAAGGACUAAGAACUAACACUAUGAGUAAAAAGUUGACCAACUUUUAACUAAGAACUAAGCUCUUAGUUAAAAUAAUAAGGUUCGCAUGCGCCGUAUAGAAUUUCAAUACUAACAAGUACCAGUUACUAUCAUUUGGGGUUUAUCGAUGUGUUCGGUGCAUCUGAAAAAAAAUUUAAUUUAAUUUUUUCACAAUCAAUGUCAAACAUUAAACUAUAGAACAAAUAGAAAGUAGUUCAAGCAUGUGCGCUUACUUCACUAAGAACUAACAAGAGUAUGCAUAAACGCCACUGAAUUCUUAGGUUUAGUUCUUAAGAACGGUGCAUAACCAUUCAUUUUUACAUUAAUUAUAUGCAGACUGAAGAUAGUUAAAUAUGAAAGAUAAUUGUUUGAAUGAAUGAAAAUUACAUUAUUGUGCUGCAUAUUUUCUAGUAAGCUGUACGCUGGAAAAUGAAUCAUGAAUCUUAAAAAAAUACUAACUAUUCACAGUAGUGUCAUUUGGGGUAGUUUAUUGAAUUAACCCUUUGUGUCCUAGUGUGUCCACUGUGGCGACACAAGUUAAUAAAUUUUUUCUCAGACGCCUAAUGCGCUCACCGUAUAGCCACAUAUUUCUUAGUUCGCGUAAAUACCGUAUCUACACAUAGGAGCACGAACUACAUCGCUGAUCCAUACGGAAAUGCAUUGGAUGUAAACUAAUAUCCACGAUUGUGUACUAGCUAUAUGAAGCAGCUAUUUUAUCGUGUUUCGAAGUGGAAAAAAACAUGGAAGAGAAAACAUCAUUCUUAUUUCGUGAUUUGGAAGAGUUGAAUUUUCAGGAUUUAUUCUCUCUUCUAGAAUAAAUACCAUCUGGGAAUAACUCGAAGGUUGAUGAUUGUUCUGAUGAUGAGUUACUUCAAGGGAAUGAUGUGGAAAUUGAGAAUGACUUGAUUGACAUAAAUUCUCUCGAUAUUGUUUAUGCGGACGAUCUUUUAGAAAUUGAAAAUUGUGUUGUACAUCAUUCCAAUAAUUCAAUGAAUGUAGCUGCAGAUCAAGAUUUAUGUAGCAGCGAA